CUGGAGACGGUGCAGCUGGGACUGGAGCCCCAAAUGACCUGCCAAAGAUUCUUUGCUCAACCAAACUUCAGUCCAGCGCCUGAACCUUCUCUGAGGCCAAUCUGUGCACCUUGUAAAAUCCAGUUUUGAUGAUGGUUGAUGAUUUGGGACAAAGCACCGUCCUGUGCC